rnacentral:rRNA from 1 species
UACGUAGGGGGCAAGCGUUGUCCGGAUUUACUGGGCGUAAAGAGCGUGUAGGCGGCCACGCAGGUCCGUUGUGAAAACUGGAGGCUCAACUUCCAGCCGUCGACGGAAACCGUGUGGCUAGAGUCCGGAAGAGGAGAGUGGAAUUCCUGGUGUAGCGGUGGAAAUGCGCAGAUAUCAGGAGGAACACCGAUUGCGAAGGCAGCUCGCUGGGACGGUACUGACGCUGAGGUGCGAAAGCGUGGGGAGCAAACAGG